AUGCACACUCGAUCUCACACACACACACACACUCACACUCUAUCACACACACAUUCACACUCGAUCACACACAUUCACACUCACGCGGCCACAUUCACACUCGAGCUCACACACACACACUCACACUCGAUCACACACAUUCACACUCACGCGGCCACAUUCACACUCGAUCACACACACACACAUCCACUCUCGCUCACACUCGAUCACACUCACACUCGAUACCCACUCGAUCACACCAACAAUCACUCUCGCUCACACCCGAUCACACACACACAUUCACACUCGAUCACACACAUUCACACUCGAUCACACACACACGCUCACACUCGAUCACACACACAUUCACACUCGUUCACACAUACGUUCACUCUUGCUCACACACACAUUCACACUCGAUCACACACAUUCACACUCUCUCACAUACACACACACACAUUUACACUCGAUCACACACACAUUCACACUCGCUCACACACACAUUCACACUCGAUCACACACACAUUCACACUCAAUCACACACACGUUCACACUCGAUCACACACACACUCACACUCAAUCACACACACAUUCACACUCGAUCACACACACGUUCACACUCGAUCACACACACAUUCACACUCAAUCACACACACAUUCACACUCGAUCACACACACAUUCACACUCGAUCACACACACGUACACACUCGAUCACACACAUCCACACUCGAUCACACACACGUACACACUCGAUCACACACUCACACUCGCUCACACACACUCACACUCGAACACACACACACACACACAUCCACACUCGAUCACACACACGCACACACUCGAUCACACACAUACAUACUCUAUCACACACACAAACACACUCAAACACACACACGUUCACACUCGCACACACAUACGCUCACACUCGCUCACACACACACACACACAUACACACUCGCUCACACAUUCACACUCGAAAACACACACUCACACUCGAUCACACACACUCACACUCUCUCACACACAUAUAUACUCGAUCACACACACACACAUUCACUCUCACUCAUACACACAUUCACACUCGAUCACACACACGUUCACACUCGAUCACACAUACGUUCACACUCGCUCACACACACACAUUCACACUCGAUCACACACAUUCACACUCUCUCUCACACACACACACACACACACACACAUUCACACUCGAUCACACACAUUUAUACUCGAUCACACACACAUUCACACUCAAUCACACACACGUUCACACUCGCUCACACACACAUUCACACUCGAUCACACACACACAUUCACACUCGAUAACACACACAUUCACACUCGAUAACACACAUUCACACUCGAUCACACACAGAUUCACACUCGAUAACACACACAUUCACACUCGAUAA
ensembl:lncRNA